AGUGUGACCUGUUGUGGAAGACUAGUGAUUUUGUUGUUGUACAUUUGUGAUCUUGACAACAAGUCACAGUCUACCUCAGUGAGUCAUACA